CAGAUUACAUAUAUCUAGCCUUCGGUAAAAAUAACUUUAAUAAUCCAAACUUAAUAUAUAAACUCUACGAUCAUAGAUCCCAUCGAAGAACCUUAACGAUGAAUUUGAUGAUACAAUUUUGAAAGCGGCGAAUAUGGAACCACUUCCAUCUCCACUCGUGGUGGCCUCUCUUAACUUGCGCAGUAUUUGCCAACAGUUUACCCAGAUAGUUAUGGUUGAAAGAGUCCAACAUUGUUGGGAGAUAAGGAGAAAAGUCCCCCAACAACUGAUUGGGAAGAUCCUAUAACUGAAACAUCUACAUUCAUUGGCUGCGUUUGGCUUGUUCUUGCGACUACCUUCCCAUUCAGAUGUUUUGCUUCGUCAUAAACUGAGAGCGCAAUGUUUAUUGAGAUUUGUCUUGGGUGUCACUGGAGAUGGUGAAGGCAAUGACAUUUAUAGCUUAUCACUCCCAACAUCACUUCCAACAUUACCGUUUGAAGUAUUUCGACAACUUUUAGAUAGUUCAGCACUCAAUAGAUGAUGGUAUGCUAUUAAGAAGAAUGAUUGUAGAAGUUGGCGCCAUGCUUUUUGUACAUGAUAUUUUCACAUGUUAAUCUCAAAAUUAUCAAAUAAAUGGACCACAGCCAGAGACUGCUGCUACUGUAAAAACUUCGAUGAAUAGCAUAGAUGAUUCCGGCGUUAUCAUAUCUGACGAUAAUAGUCAUAUGCUAAAGGCACUGGAUUUGGAACAGGAUCUACUCAACAAUCUUGGAAUGUCGAAAAAGCUUUGUUACGUCAAAAAAGUAAAGAAGAACAUGUAACACUGCUUUUACAGGUUCUUGUAUCAAUUCAGUCUCUAAUUCUGGUUCCUGAACCAUACUUCAAUGAGCCAGACUUUGAAAGAAAUCGAGGUACUCCAAGUGGGACACAUUCAUCUCGAGAGUAUAAUAGCAACAUUUACAAGGCGUGUGUUCUUUGGGCUAUGCUUGAACAAAUUCGAAAUCCAAGUCCAUGUUUUAAAGUGGUCAUUCAUACACACUUUUGGUUAAAACUAUUUGUCAAGUUUUGCAUCAAUGUUUGAAUAGGCCUGGUACGCAGAUCGAGCUAAAUUUUAGCGGAGAUAAAA